rnacentral:rRNA from 1 species
UACGGGGGGGGGCAAGCGUUGUUCGGAAUUACUGGGCGUAAAGGCUCGUAGGCGGCCAACUAAGUCGGACGUGAAAUCCCCCAGGCUCAACCUGGGAACUGCGUCUGAUACUGGAUGGCUUGAAUCCGGGAGAGGGAUGCAGAAUCCAGGUGUAGCGGUGAAAUGCGUAGAUAUCUGGAGGAAUACCGGUGGCGAAGGCGGCAUCCUGGACCGGCAUUGACGCUGAGGAGCGAAAGCCAGGGGAGCAAACGGG